AGCUUCUUGAAUCCGUGCAGAGAUUUCAUCAGAUACCAACCUAUCAGGGCUGAUCAGACUUUUGAGACAGGUGAAGUU
rnacentral:pre_miRNA from 1 species